UACGGAGGGGCAAGCGUUGUUCGGAUUUACUGGGCGUAAAGGGAGCGUAGGCGGUUGAUCAAGUCCGGUGUGAAAGCUUUACCACUCAACGGAAAGAGGUCACUGGAAACUGGUCGGCUGGAGUAAGGUAGAGGCAAGCGGAAUUCCUGGUGUAGCGGUGGAAUGUGUAGAUAUCAGGAAGAACAUCUGUGGCGAAGGCGGCUUGCUGGGCCUUUACUGACGCUGAGGCUCGAAAGCGUGGGGAGCAAACGGG
rnacentral:rRNA from 1 species